rnacentral:rRNA from 1 species
AUACGGGGGGUGCAAGCGUUGUUCGGAUUUAUAGGGCGUAAAGCGAGCGCAGGCGGCCAAGUAUGUCGGAUGUGAAAGCCCUCGGCUCAACCGAGGAAUUGCGUUCGAAACUGCUUGGCUUGAGUAUGGGAGAGGGUAGCGGAAUUCCCGGUGUAGAGGUGAAAUUCGUAGAUAUCGGGAGGAACACCAGAGGCGAAGGCGGCUUCCUGGACCAACACUGACGCUGAGGCUCGAAAGCGUGGGGAGCAAACAGGAUUAGAAACCCUAGUAGUCC